GUGUCAGCCGCCGCGGUAAUACGGAGGGGGUUAGCGUUGUUCGGAAUUACUGGGCGUAAAGCGCACGUAGGCGGACCAGCCAGUCAGGGGUGAAAUCCCGGGGCUCAACCCCGGAACUGCCCUUGAUACUGUUGGUCUAGAGUUCGAGAGAGGUGAGUGAAAUUCCGAGUGUAGUGGUGAAAUUCGUAGAUAUUCGGAGGAACACCAGUGGCGAAGGCGGCUCACUGGCUCGAUACUGACGCUGAGGUGCGAAAGUGUGGGGAGCAAACAGGAUUAGAUACCCUGGUAGUCCACACCGUAAACGAUGAAUGCCAGACGUCGGGGGGCUUGCCCUUCGGUGUCACACCUAACGGAUUAAGCAUUCCGCCUGGGGAGUACGGCCGCAAGGUCAAAACUCAAAUGAAUUGGCGGGG
rnacentral:rRNA from 1 species